ensembl:lincRNA
GGCAUGGCCAAACAGAUAAAUAGACAGAAUUCGCUUUAAAAAAGAAACGUAAAUCCUAGAUGUUCUCAUCACAAGAAAAAAACGUGUUUUUUCCCCUUUUUUCUAUUCUGCAGCUAAUGAGACGAUGGAAAUUCUGUGAUAAUCACUUCAUGAUGUCUGUGAGUCAAACCAUGACACUGUGCGCCUUACACCUACAUGCUGGAUGUCAGAGAUAUCUCCGUGAAACUGGAAGAAAAAAAAUGAGAAGAGUCCUCCGUGGCCGACGUCAGAUUCCCCAGGUCACCAUAGUCUCCGCGUGGAUGGCGCCUGCAGCCCUUGAGAAGCUGAAAACGGGGAUGCGGAGACCUGGUGGAGACCUGGUUUCCUGUGAAGUCGAUUCCGAGCGUGGGAUGGUGGCACGCACUCCAGCUGGGGUGCAGUGGGCUGCAGCCCAUCCCAGAAGGCCUCAGCUCUCCCCACUGGGGUGUUUCAUGGUCUACCUGCGGCAGGUGAGAGACUCAGGCUCAGGCUGUCGCUGUGGGAACAGCUCCCGGGUCGGGGUGGGGGGCUGAGGAAGAAGCUUCCGAGACUGGAGUUUUCCAAGCCCUGCAGAAACGAAUACCUGCAGGUUCAAAGCAACAUCUGGGCACAUUGUGGGCCAUCAUCUACAUGUUUCUGAAGAACAAGCCACCCAGCCCAUCCCCCACGAUGGCCUGUCCUUUCUGUCUACAUGUCACAGAGAAUUCUCCUUCCGGGGAAGACAAGCACUGGAGUCUCGGGAACGGCUUGCUUAGUUCUCCCUGACAUUACAGCUCACUCGUGGGUGACAGAGAAACGGGAAGGGGGAAGGAAGGGUGGCCCGCUCAGAUGACGGUGCCUGCUCAGGCCCUCCAGGCGUGUCCAACUCUCUGCCACCCCAGGGACUGUAGCCCCCAGGCUGCUCUGUCCGUGGGAUUCUCCAGGCAGGAACACUGGGGUGGAUUGCCAUUUCCUCCUCCGGAGGAUCUUCCCAGCCCAGGGAUCGAACCCCGUCUCUUACGUCUGCUGCGUUGGCAAGCGGGUUCUUUAUCACUGCAGCCCCUGGAAAGCCCCAGAUGACGGGAGACCAGUGAAGAAAGUUAAACCAAGCUGAGACGCAGCAGUGACCGCCUGCGGGCCUCACACCCAUGGGGUCCUGGGGGGACAAGCCAGGACACAACAGUGACCGCCUGUGGGCGUCACGCCCGUGGGGUCCUGGGAAGGGACAAGCCGUGGCACAGCAGUGGCCGCCUGCGGGCAUCACGCCCGUGGGGUCCUGGGGGGGACCUCUGUGACCUCAGCCCACAGCUUGCUGCCUUUGGCUGGCGUCACGCCUGUGGGGUCCUGGGGGGGACCUCUGUGACCUCUCCUCAGCCCACAGCUUGCUGCCUUUGGCUGGCAUCCUACUCCUGAGACUUGUCCCCGUCGUCUAGGGUGGCAUUGGCUGUGUGUGUAAUCGCCAUGUGACGACAUCAUCAUUCAUUCGUCGCCUCUCCUCGUGGUGGGCACUGGAGUGAAUGAACAGAGGUUGCAGGCAGCAGUCUGUGGCUGCGGUCUCCAUGUGCCGGAGAAUUUCUCCAGCUCAGACAGGCACAGAGGGAAACGUUGUGUUUAGAUGGUGCUGGAUUUCGCUCUGAGGCUGUGUUUUCUCUUGGCAGCUCCAUAUGCAAGGAUCUGCCUUGUGUUCAUCCUUCAAAACGUCCCCAGCAUCUGGUGCAAAGUGUCAUAGAGCCUUGGUUUGCAUAUCUCCGAUAUGGGUGAGUACAUGAAUGGAUGGAUUUUUUUUUCCUCAAAAUUGGCAUUGAGGUGUCUGCUCAUAUAUUUAUCCUGCCUUUUCAUUGAACGUAUUAUGACAUCUGAUGUUCCUCAAGAGACGAGAUCUUUUAGGCAGAAAGAGUUCAUUUCACGCAGUGAUCACGUGCAUGCGUUGUAUACACUUGGCGCCAACUUCUUGCCAUCCCAAAGAGCCAAUAACCGCUCUGUAGGUUUCUGAAUACUGUGAAUGUUCAUAGACUUUAGAUUCCCAGAAAUGGGCUUGCUAGGUCAAAGCACA